UACGAAGGGGGCUAGCGUUGCUCGGAAUCACUGGGCGUAAAGGGUGCGUAGGCGGGUCCUUAAGUCAGGGGUGAAAUCCUGGAGCUCAACUCCAGAACUGCCUUUGAUACUGAAGAUCUUGAGUUCGGGAGAGGUGAGUGGAACUGCGAGUGUAGAGGUGAAAUUCGUAGAUAUUCGCAAGAACACCAGUGGCGAAGGCGGCUCACUGGCCCGAUACUGACGCUGAGGCACGAAAGCGUGGGGAGCAAACAGG
rnacentral:rRNA from 1 species